rnacentral:rRNA from 1 species
ACAAAUAAUAAAAAGAAGUGCAGCUUGCGCUUAAAUUGACUACAACACAGGGAAAUUUACCAGGUCCAAACUUAUCGAAGGUAAGACAGAUUGAUAGCUCUUUCUCAAAUUUAAGGUAGUGGUUGCAUGCCGUUCUUAGUUCGUUGGAAUGAUUUGUCUGGUUAAUUCCGAUAACGAACGUGACUCAAACAUGCUAACUAGAACGCUGUCAGCAGUGGCGCCUCCGGGGCGCACUGACGUUACAGCCGGGCCGGCGCCUUCACGGGCGGUCGUCGGCUACGUUUGCCCUGCUUAGCGGGACAACUUGUGUUUAGCAAAAGCUGAGAUUGAGCGAUAACAGGUCCGUGAUGCCCUUAGAUGUUCUGGGCUGACGCGUGCUACAAUGUGGGUCGCAGCGUGUCUCGCCAAUAGCGCGCCCCAUUCCGAGAGAACGGGAAAUCACUAAAAUGCCCAUCUAGUCGGGAUUGGGGACUGCAACGGUCCCCAUGAACCUGGAAUUUCUAGUAAGAGCACUAGUCAUUAGCUAGUGCUGAUUACGUCCCUGCCCUUUGU